rnacentral:lncRNA from 1 species
AGACGCGCUCCCGGCGCCGGCAGCGAGCGGGGCGGCAAGCAGCGGCGGCGGCGGCGGGACUUUGCGAGAUGACCGGCCCCGCGUCCAGCGCGGGCGCGGAGCGGCAGGCAAGAGCCCGCGGAGGAGGCGCGCAGCGCCGGCAGCGUGGUGACACUCAUGGGACAAGUCACUGAGAAGAGCACACAGGAAGCAAAAGGGAAUGGAAAACGGUUAAAUAAGGAGGAAUGUCUGCCAUGGGCUGCAGCCGCUUAGGAUACAUUGGGAUCCACAAGAGAAGGGACAAAUAAUGGGUUACAGAGCUCUGGUGCAACCAAAGGGACCCGUUUCCAGUCUUCUUAAUCAAAAUUGCAAUAACUGCAACAGGUGAGACAUGCGUGCUGUGGCCCCGAGACAGCAAACCAGUUCACAGGCUGCGGUUUCCAUAUCGGUUCCUAAAGCUGCUUGUAGGAAAUCACCCAGCCCAAAGAACCUCCUGGGAUCCCAGCCUCUACCUUCCUAUUUCAAAAUGCAUGGCUCCAGACUAAAGAGCAAGGCAUCCCAUGUUGACAGAUUGGGGGGGAAUAUACCAAGCAAAGGGAUCUGCUACCAAGAUGCCCAUAAACCAGCAGUUCUGCCAUCCUCCAGAAUGUGAACUUUUCCCUCGGUUUUUAGUUGUAUUUUGAUUAAAGUGUAAAUACCAGCAACUGGCACAUGUCAGACGGUGUCAGAGCCGCA